UUUCCAAAUUUGCUGGCAUAUUAAGUGCAGCAUAGUAAGUGCUAUAGUGUUUAUUAAAAACAAAGUAAAAAUAAGAGUCAAAUGGGAAUUCCAAGAAUGCAUGUACUGGUGGGGAAAAAACAAAAAAUGUUUUAUGAAGAAAUGUAGAGCAUCAGCUCACUGAUGCCUGGGAUGGUCUUAUUCCUUCCCUGGGCACCCCAAGCCCCUGGCCUAUUGCCUUGCACAGAGAAGAUGCUCAAAGUACUGGUUUCUGAAUGGGUUUGAAAGGUUAGUAGUAGUUUGUUAGGGGGGUUGGAGGCAAGGAGAAUACUCUAGGGGGAGUUAACCAUGUGAACAGAAAUAAAAGGUGAAAACUUACUGUAUCCAGCACAGUAGCUAGUGUGCAUAGAACGUGGUAUAUGUUGAGUAACCUAACAUUGAAUAUCAGCUAGUUUGGUUUGGUUGAAAUCUGUCAGUUGGGUCCAGGCAGAAAGACACAUCACUUUAGGGAAUGUAAUAUGGGGAACUGUCACAUAGGUGAUCAAAGUAUAGGUAACCCAGAAAUUCCAACAGUAGGAAACCUCUUAUCACCCCUAGUGCCAGUGGGACAGGGGAAGAGGUGGUGUUCCCAGAACCCAGAAUCCUGAGGUAUCCAGUGGUGGGGAAUUGCCUGGUGGGAGCUGGGAAAUGGCAGAGCUGCAACCCAACCCAAGCCAGACAGGGAGAGAAAUAACCCUCUUCCCUUUUUCUGUCCUCAUCUCAGGUCAGUGACUCACUGGAAAGUCAAUUUGGCAUCUCGGAAAUAUCACUUCCUGAAGUCCAGAGCAGAGCAGUGAGAGAAACAGGCAGAUGACCAGCAAAAAGGCAGUUUGGAGCAUAAGCAGGGGCGUGGUAAAAUAAGCCUGUGGUGGUGUCCUUUUACGGAGUCUUGAAUGUCAGAUCUUGAAUGUAGGGGUUGCCUCAUGUUUUGUUAGGCAGAGGUGGGCCAUAGAACAUAAAAAAGCAGAAAGACAUUGUUAAAACCAUUUUAGGAAGACUUCCCCAAUGGGGAAGAUGGAGAACAGGGAAACAGUACCUUCUCUUUGAGUACCUGUCAUGUGCCAGGUAUGGCGCUAAGCAUUUAUCUCAGAAAGAUGAUGUGUCUGGUUCUGGAUAUGCUGAGUUAGGAUUUCACAAUAACAUGGAUGGGCAUGUUACAGAGUUAAUAGGAAAUUUGCAUCUGGAGCAGAGGUGUAGAGAUGUAAGGGUGGAUGGACCUCCCUGGGGGUGUACUGAGUAAGAAUCUGCCUGUUGAUGCAGGAGACAUGGGUUCGAUUCCUGGUCCAGGAAGAUUCCACAUGUCGUGAGCAACUAAGCCCAUACACCACAACUACUGAAGCCUGCGUGCUCUAGGGUCCACGAGCCACUACUGAGCUCGCAUGCUGCAGUUACUGAAGUGCACACCUAGAGCCUGUGCUCCACAACAGAAGCCACACUGACAAGCCUGCUGUCUGCAACUAGAGAAAACCCAUAUGCAGCAAUAAAACUAAGUGCAACCAAAAACAAAUUAUUUUUAAAAAAAAGAGAUGUAAGAAUGGAGACGGUGUUUUCUGCAGAGAAGUGACAGCAAAGCAGGAGAGGGAGAACAAGACAUUCAAGUUAGACAGUAUAGAGGAAGAAGAGCACAGGCAUUAUGGGAGACUAGCAAGCAGUGGGCAGAGUAAGAAAACCAGCGAAGAGAAAAAGAGCAGAGAGAUAGGAGCAGAAAGUUUACCUUCCUGCAGUCGCCAAGAGAGGCUGGAGCUAGAGGGAAGGGUCAGUAAUGUCAAAUAACAUUUCCUGGCCAGAAGAGAUGAAGAUAAAAGCUAUUGAAUACAACAGCUGGAUGCAUGGAGGAAUGGUUUCUCUUGAUGGAUUAGGUCACAGAAGGAACAGUGGGUAUUUCCUUGGCUGGAAGUGGCAGGUGCGAGUAACAGGGGGAAAAAAAAAAAGAGAUAAAGAAACGUCUCACCAAUGGAUCCAGAUUGACUAGGGAGGAAAAUGUAUCCUGAUGGGGCUGGAGGACUGGGAGGGGCUGAAAUACUUGAGAUCAGGAGUUUAUAGUCUUUGGAGUCUACAGGACUUUGGGACCACCUCAGAUAAUUCCAAAGUGCAGGUCAAGGUUGGGUUAGAGCAAACUGGAGGGAAGGCUAACAGGAGAACAGACUGGGAUAGUCAAAGUCCAGAAUCUUGACUACUGAACAGUUUCAAGCAGUGAGUCUAAGUCCAUGAUGGCAACUGACUGAGGUGGAGUGGAAAUAGGGUGACUAGAAUUGAUGAAGCCGAGCCUGAAAAACCACAGGCUUGUCUUGGUUCAGUUGCCUUUGGACAGAUCAGGAUAAUGAUGUUCACUAAAGGAAAAACCAAGUCAACCUUAAAGGACUAUAGUCAAGUAAAAUGUGUGAAAGGGUUUAAGUCAUGACUCAGCAGUUACCACAGCAUGAGGAGAGGCACUGGGCCAGUUGUGUACUAUCUUUUCACCUCACUUGGAUACUAUCUUUUCACCUCACUUGGAUAUCCACGUCCCUCCUGGCAGGUGGGGGCAGCUGACAGUUGAAGCAGGUUAAGUGGUAGACUUGGCUGGAAGGGCAGAUGUUACAGCUACAUCAGCUAAAGUUUGGAUGAGCUUUACAUUACAGAAUUAAGCCAUGACUUGUUCUCCUAGCUCUGUUUCAGAGCCAGCCACUUGGAUUUGUGUACACAUAAAAAUGUAUACACAUACAUUUAAGGGAAAAAAUAGGUUUUCCUGGUAAAACUUUAACAUAUAGAAACACUUUAUUAACUACAGUGUGUACGUUGUUUUUGUUCUCUUAGUACAUUACUCCUGAGAACUCCCCUGAGUUAUGGGGGUGGAGGAGUGGAUGUAGGAGGGAGGGACUGAACAAAACUUCAUACAAACAGUUCUUCAUAUAGAUGACUGCAUGCACAUAGUUCUUUCCUGCCACUGACAAAGGUUGAGGAACACCCCAUAGUCAUUUGUAAUAGUCCUGUUUUUGGGAACUAAAGUUCAUAUGGUAAUUGAACUAAAUCUAAUUAUAGUUUUCAUAAUCCAUGGUCACUUUUCUUCCCUUAAUGAACAAGACCUCAGAAUCUGAGUACACUGCAUGGGAUCUGAGGUCAAGAUUUUGGCACCUGAACCAUACCAGUCUCUGCUUUGCAAUUCUGCCCAGGAGGCUGUAACCGUAAGGAAGAUGAAUCAACGGAAAACAAGAAUACCACUCAUGUAAUAGCUUCAGAAGAGCACCGUGACUGCAGACUUCUCAGGCGGGAGGCGGGUUCUUUACUGAUGAGCCACUGGGGAAGGCCUUCUAUACUGUACUACCAUUAAACCGAAGAUGAAAAAUUUCAAGAAUGUGUUAGGUCUUCGAGAUCUGCUCAGCCAGCUGAAUGACCUCAUCUGAUACCAUGUGGAGUACAAGUCAUCUAGCCCAGCCCUGUCCCACUGGAUCAUGAGAUUGAGUAAAACAGUGGCUGUUUUGAA